GACGUAGGAUGCAAGCGUUGUUCGGAUUUAUUGGGCGUAAAGCGAGCGUAGGUGGCUAGAUAAGUCUGGUGUUAAAGCUAGGGGCUCAACCCCUGUGUUGCACUGGAAACUGUCUGGCUUGAGGAUGGUAGGGGAAGGUGGAAUUCCGAGUGUAGCGGUGAAAUGCGUAGAUAUUCGGAGGAACACCGGUGGCGAAAGCGACCUUCUGGGCCAUUUCUGACACUGAGGCUCGAAAGCUUGGGGAGCAAACGGGG
rnacentral:rRNA from 1 species